GAUGAACGCUGGCGGCGUGCCUAAUACAUGCAAGUCGAGCGAACAGAUGAGGAGCUUGCUCCUCUGACGUUAGCGGCGGACGGGUGAGUAACACGUGGAUAACCUACCUAUAAGACUGGGAUAACUUCGGGAAACCGGAGCUAAUACCGGAUAAUAUAUUGAACCGCAUGGUUCAAUAGUGAAAGACGGUUUUGCUGUCACUUAUAGAUGGAUCCGCGCCGCAUUAGCUAGUUGGUAAGGUAACGGCUUACCAAGGCAACGAUGCGUAGCCGACCUGAGAGGGUGAUCGGCCACACUGGAACUGAGACACGGUCCAGACUCCUACGGGAGGCAGCAGUAGGGAAUCUUCCGCAAUGGGCGAAAGCCUGACGGAGCAACGCCGCGUGAGUGAUGAAGGUCUUCGGAUCGUAAAACUCUGUUAUUAGGGAAGAACAAAUGUGUAAAUAACUAUGCACGUCUUGACGGUACCUAAUCAGAAAGCCACGGCUAACUACGUG
rnacentral:rRNA from 1 species